rnacentral:rRNA from 1 species
AGUGAACGCUGGCGGCAGGCCUAACACAUGCAAGUCGAGCGGCAGCGCGGGGGCAACCCUGGCGGCGAGCGGCGGACGGGUGAGGAAUACAUCGGAAUCUGCCUUGUUGUGGGGGAUAACGUAGGGAAACUUACGCUAAUACCGCAUGAGACCGUAAGGUGAAAGUGGGGAUCGCAAGACCUCACGCGACAAGAUGAGCCGAUGUCGGAUUAGCUAGUUGGUGAGGUAAAGGCUCACCAAGGCAACGAUCCGUAGCUGGUCUGAGAGGAUGAUCAGCCACACUGGGACUGAGACACGGCCCAGACUCCUACGGGAGGCAGCAGUGGGGAAUAUUGGACAAUGGGCGCAAGCCUGAUCCAGCCAUGCCGCGUGUGUGAAGAAGGCCUUCGGGUUGUAAAGCACUUUUGUUGGGAAAGAAUCCUGUCGAUUAGUACUCGGCGGGAUGACGGUACCCAAAGAAUAAGCACCGGCUAACUUCGUGCCAGCAGACCG